GCGGAUGUUGCUUUCCGCCCCGUGGUGAGCCAACAAUGUGCAGGAUUAAUCAAGCCAACCGGCUAUCCACUCAGGUUAAUUAGGGUGAAGGGAUAAUAAGGACCCCAUUAAAAAAGCAGGCAUCCACAGAGGACCCUUAAUCCACGCGCCGGUGUGUGUCUGCAAAACGUUGUUUGUUUGCGGCAGGACAAUGACCCAACACACCUCCAAGGGCUAUUUGACCAAGAAGGAGAGUGGAGUGCAGUAUCAGAUGACCUGGCCUCCACAAUCACCUGACCUCAACCCAAUUGAGAUGGUUUGGGAUGAGUUGGACUGCAGAGUGAAGGAAAAGCAGCCAACCAGGGCUCUGCAUAUGUGGGAACUCCUUCAAGACUGUUGGAAAAGCAUUCCAGCUGAAGCUGGUUUAGAGAAUUGUCAGAGAAUUGUCAUCCAGGCAAAGGGUCGCUACUUUGAAGAAUCUCAAAUAUAAAAUCUAUUUUUAAUUUGUUUUGACACUGGUUUGGUUAUUAUAUGAUUCCAUAUGUGUUAUUUCAUAGUUUUGAUGCCUUCCCUAUUAUUCUACAAUGUAGAAAAUAGUCAAAAUAAAGAAUAACCCUUGAAUGAG